rnacentral:lncRNA from 10 species
GUUUGUUUUUUUCUUGUAAAUUUGUUUGAGUUCUUUGUAGAUUCUGGAUAUUAGCCCUUUGUCAGAUGAGUAGAUUGUAAAAAUUUUCUCCCAUUCUGUAGGUUUCCUGUUCACUCUGAUGGUAGUUUCUUUUGCUGUGCAGAAGCUCUUUAGUUUAAUUAGAUCCCUUUAUGUCUUUCAGCUUUCAGGUUCCACUCUAUUUUGGCCUCCAGGGAUUUAUUCUUCUGUAUCACUGCAUUAUAAUUUAUGUGAAACUCACAAACUAAGAGUUGCCAACAAAGAACUUGAGGUAACAAAAUUCCAGACUUUCUUAUCAACCCCCAAAUAUACCUCCUAAAACCAUUCUGUAUAAUGGGCAGUUGUUGAAAACUCAUGAUUUAUUGCUCCAAUUGUUAUUAAUUUAGCAACAGUAGCCUAAUAGCCAUCUAUUCUCUCCUUAAACAUUGUUUUAUUGCAGUAGAAUGAAGAAUAGCUUGAAUAGUCUCUACAAGUAGAAAGAUUGGACUUCAAAACUUGUGUCUUUUGGAAGAAGAUGUGAAAGGAGCCACUGUUGAUUUAAAU